CUAAAGGCUCUUUUCAGAGCCAUCAUGUUCCCUGGGAGGUGGCAG
rfam:Pan troglodytes isolate Yerkes chimp pedigree #C0471 (Clint) chromosome 3, whole genome shotgun sequence.